CUUUGCACAGGUUUUGAUAAAUCUCCCUCAUAAUGCUUAGAAUUGAGGCUAAGAAGUUCAAUCUUGGUUUCACUAGACCAUAGAAUCUUGUUUCUCACAGUCUAAGAGACAUUUAAAUGCUUUGUUUUUUUUUUCCAAACUCCAGGUCGCGUUCAUAUUUUACUGAAAAGAAGCUUCUUUCUGGUCACUUUUCCUUGAAACCCAGAUUGGCAGAGAGCUGCAGGGAUGUAUGACCUUCUAGAGUGUCCAGGAGAUAAGAGACCAAGAGUGCAAGAGAGCAAAUUGAUUGACUACAGUCCAGGGGCUGGACUAAGCUCAUUGGUCAGCAAACCUAACAGGCAGAGGCAUUACAGAGAGUAAUAGGCAUCAGGCGGCACCAGGUAAAAGGCUGACGGGUGAUGACUAAUAGAAUAUUUUUCAUUGAAGACUCUGCUCCUACAGGCCCGGACAGGUCUUUUGUUUUUUCAUUUAUUUUUUUUUAUCUUUACUUGAAUUAAAAAUGUUCAAAUAGGUGAA